rfam:Toxocara canis scaffold745, whole genome shotgun sequence.
GUAGCAGUAGCUCAGUGGCAGAGCUCCCGCCUCGAACGCGGCAAGACCUGGGUUCGAUUCCUGGCUGCUUUC